rnacentral:rRNA from 1 species
UACGUAGGGGGCUAGCGUUGUCCGGAAUCAUUGGGCGUAAAGCGCGUGUAGGCGGUCCGGUAAGUCCGCUGUGAAAGUCGAGGGCUCAACCCUCGAAUGCCGGUGGAUACUGUCGGGCUAGAGUGCGGAAGAGGCGAGUGGAAUUCCUGGUGUAGCGGUGAAAUGCGCAGAUAUCAGGAGGAACACCUAUUGCGAAGGCGCUCUGCUAGGCCGUAACUGACACUGAGGGACGAAAGCUAGGGGAGCGAAUGGG